GACGAACGCUGGCGGCGUGCUUAACACAUGCAAGUCGAACGGAAAGGCCCUGCUUUUGUGGGGUGCUCGAGUGGCGAACGGGUGAGUAACACGUGAGUAACCUGCCCUUGACUUUGGGAUAACUUCAGGAAACUGGGGCUAAUACCGGAUAGCAGCUCCUGCUGCAUGGUGGGGGUUGGAAAGUUUCGGCGGUUGGGGAUGGACUCGCGGCUUAUCAGCUUGUUGGUUGGGUAGUGGCUUACCAAGGCUUUGACGGGUAGCCGGCAUGAGAGGGUGACCGGCCACAUUGGGACUGAGAUACGGCCCAGACUCCUACGGGAGGCAGCAGUGGGGAAUAUUGCACAAUGGGCGGAAGCCUGAUGCAGCAACGCCGCGUGCGGGAUGACGGCCUUCGGGUUGUAAAACGCUUUCGCCUGUGACGAAGCGGGAGUGACGGUAAUGGGUAAAGAAGCACCAGCUAACUACGUG
rnacentral:rRNA from 1 species